rnacentral:rRNA from 1 species
AACGAACGCUGGCGGCAUGCCUAACACAUGCAAGUCGAACGAAGGCUUCGGCCUUAGUGGCGCACGGGUGCGUAACGCGUGGGAAUCUGCCCAAAGGUUCGGAAUCACUCGGGGAAACCCGUGCUAAUACCGGAUGAUGUCGCAAGACCAAAGAUUUAUCGCCUUUGGAUGAGCCCGCGUCGGAUUAGCGAGUUGGUGGGGUAAAGGCCUAGCAAGGCGAAGAGCCGUAGCUGGUCUGAGAGGAGGCUCAGCCACACUGGGACUGAGACACGGCCCAGAGUCCUACGGGAGGCAGGAGGGGGGAAUAUUGGACAAUGGGCGAAAGCCUAAGCCAGCAAUGCCGCGUGAGUGAUGAAGGCCCUCGGGUCGUAAAGCGCUUUUACCCGGGAUGAUAAUGACAGUACCGGGAGAAUAAGCUCCGGCUAACUCCGUGCCAGCCGCCGCAGUAA